AUUGAACGCUGGCGGCAUGCCUAACACAUGCAAGUCGAGCGGAGCGGCGGACGGGUGAGUAAUGUCUAGGAAUGUGCCCGGUAGCGGGGGAUAACGUCCGGAAAGGGGAGCUAAUACCGCAUACUAUUAGAUCAGCCGAGGUCGGAUUAGCUAGUUGGUGGGGUAACGGCCUACCAAGGCGACGAUCCGUAACUGGUCUGAGAGGAAGAUCAGUCACACUGGAACUGAGACACGGUCCAGGCUCCUACGGGGGGCAACAUUGGGGAAUGUUGGACAAAGGGGGGAAGCCUUGUCCAACCAUGCCGCGGGUGUGGAGAAGGUCUUCGGGGUUUAAAGCACUUUAUGUUAGGAGACGUUACCAACAGGAAAAGCACCGGCUAACUUCGUGCCAACAGCCGCGGUAAUAC
rnacentral:rRNA from 1 species